UAGGAAUAAGUUUUGCAAAGAGAUAAAGAAGUAAACUUAGAAGCAUGUAUUUAUGAUACAAUAUAUUGGUACUUUUUUACAGAGCCCACCCCAGUUUCAUUGAGAUCUAGCUGCAACACAAUGGAAAAACAGGACAGCUUGACCCUAAGAGUCCACCCCAAAUUCAUUGAGAUCUAGCCGCAACACAAUAGGAAAACGGGACAUCUUGACCCACAGAGAAAACACUGAGUAUUUUGAACAAGAGUCCACCACAGAUUUAUUGAGAGCUAGUCGCAACGCAAUGGAAAAACAGGACAUCUUGAACUUCAGAGAAAACAUUCCAUACCAUUGUUUUCCCUCUCUCAGUUCCUGUGAUGAAAGAAGUCAACUUGAUAGGUUUGUUUCAAUCUAUUUUGUGAAUGUUUUUCUUGUUUGAUAAUAGGUUAGUCAUACAUAUGUAGCUGCAACAAUGUAGCCCUCUCCGAUUUUUUA